ensembl:lncRNA
CAAACCCGCCCGGAGCCGCGCGGGGCCCCGCAGGAGCCGCCCUGAGGGGGCCAAUUCCUGAAAACCCCAAAUUCCUGAAAACCCCAAAAUUCAGGAUGGGGAUUCGGGAUCCCAUCCUGGGAACGUUUACAGAUCCCACUGUGCCAUUCCCCCCUUUUUUCCCCAUUUUUUUCCCAAUUUUUCCCUCUUUUUUCCCAAUUUUUUCCCAUUUUUCCCAUUUUUCCCCCCCUUUUUUCAAUUUUUCCCCCUUUUUUUCCCCCUCAUUUUUCCCCCUCUUCCCCUGGUUUUCCCACUGGGAUUUUUGGGGUUUGCUUUUGUCCCAAUCCAGAAAUUUUCUCCCCAAAAAAUUCCCAAAAUCCCAACCCCGACCUCGCGCUGGCUGUGAAUGGGAGGAAAUUUGGGAUUUUGGAGGGGGAAAUUUGGAAUUUUUGGGGCAAAAUUUGGGAUUUUGGGGAGGAAAUUUGGGAUUUUGGGGUCUCCCAACAUCUGGGAUGUUCCCUGUAGGAUUUGGGGGGGGUCCCUGCAUUCCUGACCCCCCCAAAUUUGGGAAUUUUCCCAUUGGAAUUUACGAUUUCCCCUCAAAAUUUGGGAUUUUUCUCUUUGGGAAUUUCAGAUUUCCCUCUGGAAUUUCCCUUUGGGAUUUGGGAUUUUCCUUUGGGAUUUCUCCCUUUGGAAUUUGGGAUUUUUUUGGGAUUUGUGCUGUCCCCCCUCCCCCCAUUAAACUCCACCAUUUUUGGGUUUUCUCUGGAAUUUAUUUCAGGAAUUUCCUCCCCACCCU